AGCGAACGCUGGCGGCGUGCCUAACACAUGCAAGUCGAACGUGAAAAGGGAAACCUGAGUACAGUGGCGUACGGGUGAGUAACGCGUAGGUAAUCUACCCCAGAAUCUGGAAUAACCUGCCGAAAGGCGGGCUAAUACUGGAUAGAGCGAGGGAACUCGUAAGAGAGUUUUUCGGGAAAGGGAGCCCGCAAGGGCCUUCGUUCUGGGAUGAGCCUGCGUCUCAUUAGCUAGUUGGUAAGGUAACGGCUUACCAAGGCGAUGAUGAGUAGCUGGUCUGAGAGGAUGAUCAGCCACACUGGAACUGAAACACGGGCCAGACUCCUACGGGAGGCAGCAGUGGGGAAUCUUGCGCAAUGGACGAAAGUCUGACGCAGCCACGCCGCGUGAGUGAAGAAGGCCUUCGGGUUGUAAAGCUCUGUCGGAUGGGACGAACAUCUUCAUAGUGAAUAGCUAUGAGGACUGACGGUACCAUCAAAGGAAGCACCGGCUAACUCCGUG
rnacentral:rRNA from 1 species